rnacentral:rRNA from 1 species
AUUGAACGCUGGCGGCAGGCCUAACACAUGCAAGUCGAACGGUAACAGGAAGAAGCUUGCUUCUUUGCUGACGAGUGGCGGACGGGUGAGUAAUGUCUGGGAAACUGCCUGAUGGAGGGGGAUAACUACUGGAAACGGUAGCUAAUACCGCAUAACGUCGCAAGACCAAAGAGGGGGACCUUCGGGCCUCUUGCCAUCGGAUGUGCCCAGAUGGGAUUAGCUUGUUGGUGGGGUAACGGCUCACCAAGGCGACGAUCCCUAGCUGGUCUGAGAGGAUGACCAGCCACACUGGAACUGAGACACGGUCCAGACUCCUACGGGAGGCAGCAGUGGGGAAUAUUGCACAAUGGGCGCAAGCCUGAUGCAGCCAUGCCGCGUGUAUGAAGAAGGCCUUCGGGUUGUAAAGUACUUUCAGCGGGGAGGAAGGGAGUAAAGUUAAUACCUUUGCUCAUUGACGUUACCCGCAGAAGAAGCACCGGCUAACUCC